rnacentral:rRNA from 1 species
UACGUAGGGUGCGAGCGUUGUCCGGAAUUAUUGGGCGUAAAGAGCUCGUAGGCGGUGUGUCACGUCGGCCGUGAAAACCUGCAGCUUAACUGUGGGCGUGCGGUCGAUACGGGCAUCACUGGAGUUCGGCAGGGGAGACUGGAAUUCCUGGUGUAGCGGUGAAAUGCGCAGAUAUCAGGAGGAACACCGGUGACGAAGGCGGGUCUCUGGGCCGUAACUGACGCUGAGGAGCGAAAGCGUGGGGAGCGAACAGG